rnacentral:sRNA from 1 species
GACAAUGAUGAUUCUU